rnacentral:rRNA from 1 species
UUAACCUGGUUGAUCCUGCCAGUAGUCAUAUGCUUGUCCCAAAGAUUAAGCCAUGCAUGUCUAAGUAUAAAUCUUUGUACGGUGAAACUGCGAAUGGCUCAUUAUAUCAGUUAUAAUUUAUUUGAUGAUCACUUUACUACUUGGAUAACCGUGGUAAUUCUAGAGCUAAUACAUGCAAAGAACCCAACUUCUGG